GUGCAACCAACAGCAGCAACUGCUGCAAUCAGCAAUCGUAUAACCAACAACCAAACAACAACCACGCGCUCGUGUCUAAAGUCGAGUGUUUUACCAUUUCUAGCCGCCGUUCGACUACUAUAUGUUUUGCGCGACUUUGUUUUUUGCUUAUCAAAUUCCACAGAAAUACACCGAGAA